rnacentral:rRNA from 1 species
UACGGAGGGUGCAAGCGUUAUCCGGAUUCACUGGGUUUAAAGGGUGCGUAGGCGGGCAGAUAAGUCAGUGGUGAAAUACCUGAGCUUAACUUGGGAACUGCCAUUGAUACUAUUUGUCUUGAAUGUUGUGGAGGUUAGCGGAAUAUGUCAUGUAGCGGUGAAAUGCUUAGAUAUGACAUAGAACACCAAUUGCGAAGGCAGCUGGCUACACAAAUAUUGACACUGAGGCACGAAAGCGUGGGGAUCAAACAGG